rnacentral:pre_miRNA from 1 species
AUAGGUGUCGGUUUUUUAAUAGAACCGACACCUAUACUUAUAUACUUAUAUUAUAGGUGUCGGUUCUAGAGAAAAAACCGGCACCUAUAUAUAUGUGCCGGUUUUUUCUGUGGAACCAAUACCUAUAAUAUAAGUAUAGGUGUCGGUUCUAUUAAAAACCGAUACCUAU